rnacentral:rRNA from 1 species
GUUUGAUCAUGGCUCACCACGGACGUAGUCGGCGAUGCCUAAUACAUGCAAGUCGAGCGAACAGAGAAGGAGCUUGCUCCUUUGACGUUAGCGGCGGACGUGGUGAGUAACACGUGGGCAACCUACCUUAUAGUUUGGGAUAACUCCGGGAAACCGGGGCUAAUACCGAAUAAUCUAUUUUACUUCAUGGUGAAAUACUGAAAGACGGUUUCGGCUGUCGCUAUAAGAUGGGCCCGCGGCGCAUUAGCUAGUUGGUGAGGUAACGGCUCACCAAGGCGACGAUGCGUAGCCGACCUGAGAGGGUGAUCGGCCACACUGGGACUGAGACACGGCCCAGACUCCUACGGGAGGCAGCAGUAGGGAAUCUUCCACAAUGGGCGAAAGCCUGAUGGAGCAACGCCGCGUGAGUGAAGAAGGUUCUCGGAUCGUAAAACUCUGUUGUAAGGGAAGAACAAGUACAGUAGUAACUGGCUGUACCUUGACGGUACCUUAUUAGAAAGCCACGGCUAACUACGUGCCAGCAGCCGCGGUAAUACGUAGUGUAUGCAAGCGUUUGUCCGGAAUUAUUGGGCGUAAAGCGCGCGCACG